CGAGGGCGAGUUGUGGCGUCUCUGAAGCCAAUAGCUGGGCCAUGAAGAUGAUCUUGGCUGUGGAGAGCCAGAAGGGCCAGGUGCGCCUGAGCUCCUGGAGUAACUGCAUCUUCUCUGACCCCUGGUACCAGACCCCGGAUGAGGAUGUCGGGAUGAUACACAAAGCUGCGUCCAGGGGAACGCGUGGGAGCUGCAGCGGAGGCUCCCGCUGAAGAGAAUAGACCAGUCUGAAAUCUACAAGAACAGGUGUCGGGAACUGCGGGCUGCGGGCUGGGGGUUGAGGGAGAAGGUGGGCAGGUGGGGAGAAGCACCUCCUUCAGAGUUGGGGGCUUGGGGAGUGGGGGCCAGGGGAGGCGUGGAAAGAAUAGUGUGUGCGGGGUGGGACGUCCUCGUCCCCAGGGCGCUGGGCUUUCUUCCUAGGAGGACUCCGCAGCGCCUGGGAUGUGGACGCCUUGGGGGUGGAGGGCCCAGGCCAUCUUUAUGAGCAGCAAAAUAAACCCAAAACUUUAGCUGGUUCCUCCACCCGCAGUUCCUCUUACAGAGCACUUUAGAGAGAACUUUAAAGUGAUUUAACAAAAUUAAGUAUAUAUUGUUUUAUUUUUAAUGCACACAUUUUAAAAGAUAAUGUUAGGUACAUUAUAGAAAGGUACAUAAUGAAAGAAAUAAUUCCCAUAAUAUAUCACCUUCUGGGCUAAGAAUUUUUUGGCUAAAAUCCAAUAUUUUAUAUCAAUGAAUACCUAUGUAAAUAUGUUCUUUGCUGAGAGACCUUAGAAGGAAACUUUGAAGUAGGAAGAAGUUUCACGUUCUUAAAUAAGAAGACUCAUUUUUCUCGAGGUGUGAGAUCUUUAUUAAUUUUACACAAAUCAAAGUUAUCAAAGUUAAUAUUUUUGAAUUACACAUGCUGUCUUUUAAUAUUAAGAUGGCUUAACAUUUUUGUAAUGGAGAAAAAAAGUCUUGCCUUUCAAAAUGUGCUAUUAAUUUGCAUAAAUAGUUUGCUAACAGCUGAAAAGAUAGAUAAAUGAAUGCAAGAGAAUAGAAAAUCCAGGAACACCCAAAUAUAUGUAAGAAUGUAUAACAGGGUAAUGGUGAGACUUUAUACUAGUAAGAAAAGUGAAAUGCCUGCUUUUUCGAAGAAACUAGCUAGAUUUUUAUGUCACAAAAAUAAGUUUCUCAUUGAAUAUAGAUUAUUUUAAAUAUGCAAAAUGAGAAAAAUACCAGAAGAAAACGCAAAUGCCUAUUUAUACAAAUACAUUUUUGUGUUGACAAAGACCUUCCUAGGAACCUCUCAAGCAAGCAUUCUGAAAGUUUAUUUAGCAAAAUUAAAAUUAAAUCACACUGCAUAUGAGAAAAAGAUAAAAUAAAAGACAUCAUACUUAUAUAAUAUUUACCACGUGUUUUUGUGUGUGUACAUAUAAAAAAUGGCUAUUCAUUUUACAGAGAAUUCUUCCAAAUCAACAUGAAAAUACCUCUAAAACUGGGCAAAGUACUUUUUCCAGCUCUGCAAGUCACCUAUGCACAUAGGAAAAAAUACUUAAUGUGUCUGAUAAGAGAAGGAAUUUAAUUUAAAAAAGGAAUGAAAUGCCGUUUUCUAUCCUAAGUUUGUGAGGAUGAGGAGCAGUGAUAUUUACAAUUCUGCUUAAAGUUAAGUUGCUGAUGACUUUUCAAAAAGACAAUUUGGUGGAUGGCUCCACAUUUGGCCUGUGCCAAUGGCUGCCCAGAAGUGGUAACUUUUCUGGUGCACAGAAAAUGCCAGCUUAACAUCUGUGACAGUGAAAACAAGACACCUCUAACGAAGGCUAUAACAUGCCAAGAAGAUGUGAAACUAUUCUGCUAGACCUUGGUGCUGAUCCAAAUAUUACAGAUGUCUAUGGCAGCACUGCUCUCCAUAUGCUGUCUAUAAUGAGAAUAUGUCAAUGGUAGCAAAACUGUUUUCACACAAGACAAACGUCGAAGUGAAAAACAAUGUAGAGCAACCAACGUUAUUUUCAAAAUAUUUGAAAUCCACUUGUUUUAACAUUGACAUAUGUAAGGGUCAGUUUUUCCUAUUUGGAAGCUUAAGCAAUCCCUGAAUAAAAAUAAUUUGAAAUAACAGUCUAAGAUUUUACCUUAAAUACUAAUAUCUUUAAAAAAGUAUUAGAGAGUAUGGCUUUCUUUUAUGCAUUUAUGGUACAUAUUUGAAUUUGUUAUAGGUAAAACUUUUGUUUUCAAUUUUUUUUUUGACUGAAGUAUUCUUUUUCUUUCUAACUAGUGUACAACAACACAGGAAAGCAAAGUUGGCCUGCAUAAAUUAAGCCAACGUGUAAAAUUUAGGAGACCUGCAAAAAUCUGUAUUUCAGGCUCCUCUUAAAUAGUGAAAUCUGGUUUCCCUUGAGCCCAUAUUACUGUUUGGUGUGCUAUGAAGAGGCUGUAGCUUCACGCAAAGUCUGUGGUCUCCAGUUUGCCGCUGUGCCCACCUAGGGACUUACUCAGGUCAUACCCUUUGCCUCUGUAAAUAUUUUAGUUAACAACUCCUGUCAUAUAGUAUAUUUUGGUAAAGAUUUCAAGGUUUUCAAGACAGUUGAUAGUUAUUUAUAAUAUAUAGCCUAUAUUUUGUAUUAAUUCCUUAAUAAUGGGUUUGACUUUUAGAAUUUAGAAGUUGUUUUUUAAAUAAUGAUUUUUCUUUAUAUAUACCAUAAAUAAUAAUCACAUUGGAAUGCCUAUAUGCCUUUUUAGGUUAAUUAUGGUUAUAUUUGGAUAGGUUAUGCAUAUUGCAGAACACAUUUUAUCUUUCUCCUCAGCAUUGUCUCUGAAAAUGGAAGUGAUUUAGUGGCUUUUAUUACGCUAAAAUAACCCAUAUAGUUCAGCUAGAAAUUGUAUUGAUAAGCCAUUGCAUUUGUUAUUUCUGAUAUUUUGCCAAAAAUAAAAAAUAAUUUUAAGUAGCAAUGAAAAAUGGAAACCAGAAUAAAAAUGGAUUAAUGCAUUUUAAGAAGUAGAUUUGCAUUAGGGUCCUAGGAUUAUAAAUAUCAUUAUAAUUGAGAAUAAAAUUUCAUACUGAACUUUGUAACAGCUAAAAUUCUGUGAUCCUGUAAUAGGAGAAACCCAAUGGACCAUUUAAUAAUAAGCAAUCAAAAUUCAUUUGAAGCCUAUCUCUUUUAAUUUAGAGCCCAUUUCCUUAGUGACCUACUUGGAGCAGGAGUGCCUGACUUUGGCAGCUGGGAUCCUGGGCCCAUUGAUAGAAAAUAAUCAAGUGAGUUUCUAUCACUUGGAGGAAACCUCUACCUUUAUUGGAAAGCUUUAAAAACUGUAAUCCUGAAAUUUUAAUUCCUCAAAUGUUAAUAUUGCCACAAAACCUAUUGUCAAAUAAGGAUUAGGCAAAGUUCAAGACAUUUCUUGAAUACUGGACAUAUAAUUCACAGUUUUAUAAUAUUUCUCAAACAUAGAUGAUCAUAGGAUCUUCCUAUUCAGGUACAGUCUUUAAAUUCUGGCAAAGUAAAUAUUCUUUGGAAUAUAGUUUAAGAAGUACUACUCUAGAGGUAAUAAUUUAGAUCAUUAAUUUAAUAAAAAUACUUAAAGUAUUUACUACUAUGUCAUAGGGUUUGAGGAUAAACAGAUAAAAGAUACAGCAGCUGCCCUCAAGAAUCUGUUGGUUUAGAUAGAAAUCAAUAAAAUUAUUACAAUAUACCACGUGAAAUGCUGUGCUAGAAACAAAGAUUAUUGAAACCAGUGACUGUUUCAAAUCAUUUUUGGAGCUGACCAGAGUUAAUGUGAGUCAGAGGCUGGAUGUUUUCAAGUGGAGGAGGAGUGCAUGGGAAAGCACAGAGGAGUGAGAAGGAAGGGACAGAUUUUAUUUGCUUUCUAUUUUAUGUGUUUAAGUUCAUAAGACCUUAUAUAAGGUAUUCAGCUCAGCUGACAAAUAUGUAAUUUUAUGAAUUAUAAAUUGUUUUUGCCGUUUUACAGGAUGGCCUCAUACCACUUUUACUUGCCAUAACUAAAAGAAGACAGCAAAUGGUAUAAUUUUUACUAACAAAAAAUGCAAAUGUAAAUGCAGUUGAUAAAGGUUUAGUCAUUUUUUUAAAGUGAGUGUUGUUCUAGAGUCGUAACAUUCAAGUUGGAAAUAUUAAAUUAAUCAGCAGAUUAGCUUAUAUUUAUUGGAUUAUAGUGGAAAAUAUCAAAACAAAUCACCAGUUAGGUAGAAAAGCAAUUACUUGGACUGGGCAACAUAAAGAACAUAUGUAUAUGAUAGGAUUUAUAUUCUCUUAUUAUAUUGGCUGAUGUUAUUUGCAAUCUGAUGUUUUUGGUCACAUUAUCUUCUAUUAGUAAAGGGUUUUGUAUUAGUUUUAUAAAAUAUGAACUUUAACUUUCAGUUUGCUUAUUGAUUCAAUAUUGAAUUAUUAAGUAUUUUAUAGUGUUUCUCUACCUUCUGCUUUUUAUAGACUUUUUCUAUAAAAUGUAACAUGAAUCAUAA